AGUGAACGCUGGCGGCAGGCCUAACACAUGCAAGUCGAACGGCAGCACAGAGGAGCUUGCUCCUUGGGUGGCGAGUGGCGGACGGGUGAGGAAUGCAUCGGAAUCUGCCUAUUUGUGGGGGAUAACGUAGGGGAAACUUACGCUAAUACCGCAUACGUCCUACGGGAGAAAGUGGGGGACCGCAAGGCCUCACGCAGAUAGAUGAGCCGAGGCCGGAUUAGCUAGUUGGAGGGGUAAAGGCCCACCAAGGCGACGAUCCGUAGCUGGUCUGAGAGGAUGAUCAGCCACACUGGAACUGAGACACGGUCCAGACUCCUACGGGAGGCAGCAGUGGGGAAUAUUGGACAAUGGGCGCAAGCCUGAUCCAGCCAUGCCGCGUGUGUGAAGAAGGCCUUCGGGUUGUAAAGCACUUUUGUCCGGAAAGAAAAGCAUUCGAUUAAUACUCGGGUGUUAUGACGGUACCGGAAGAAUAAGCACCGGCUAACUUCGUGCCAGCCGCCGCAGUAACAC
rnacentral:rRNA from 1 species